rnacentral:sRNA from 20 species
CUUGCAUGGCGGUGACCGGCCACAAGGCCGAAGGCAAUGCAAGACGCGUACCGGCUGCCCGCCAAUGCGAGGGGGCCGG